GAUAAACGCUGGCGGCGUGCUUCAGGCAUGCAAGUCGAACGGGUGCUAGCUUUCGGGCUAGUACUAGUGGCGGACGGGUGAGUAACACGUAAGCAAUCUGCCCGGUAGUGGGGAAUAACUAGCCGAAAGGCUGGCUAAUACCGCAUGUGAUGGUUUGUCUUUGGAUGGAUCAUGAAAGGCGUAAGUCGCUACCGGAGGAGCUUGCGGCCGAUUAGCUAGUUGGUGAGGUAAUGGCCCACCAAGGCAACGAUCGGUAGCUGGUCUGAGAGGACGGUCAGCCACACGGGGACUGAGAUACGGCCCCGACUCCUACGGGAGGCAGCAGCUAGGAAUCUUGGGAAUGGGCGAAAGCCUGACCCAGCAACGCCGCGU
rnacentral:rRNA from 1 species